UGCCCAGGCGGGGCAAUAAGUCAGUGGUGAAAUCCUGCGGCUUAACCGUAGAACUGCCAUUGAUACUGUUGCCCUUGAGUAUAGUUGAGGUGGGCGGAAUAUGUAAUGUAGCGGUGAAAUGCAUAGAUAUUACAUAGAACACCAAUUGCGAAGGCAGCUCACUAAGCUAUCACUGACGCUGAGGCACGAAAGCGUGGGGAGCGAACAGGAUUAGAUACCCUGGUAGUC
rnacentral:rRNA from 1 species